rnacentral:rRNA from 1 species
AACGAACGCUGGCGGCAUGCCUAACACAUGCAAGUCGAACGAUCCCUUCGGGGAUAGUGGCGCACGGGUGCGUAACGCGUGGGAACCUGCCCUUAGGUUCGGAAUAACUCAGAGAAAUUUGAGCUAAUACCGGAUAAUGUCUUCGGACCAAAGAUUUAUCGCCUUUGGAUGGGCCCGCGUUGGAUUAGCUAGUUGGUGGGGUAAAGGCCUACCAAGGCGACGAUCCAUAGCUGGUCUGAGAGGAUGAUCAGCCACACUGGGACUGAGACACGGCCCAGACUCCUACGGGUGGCAGCAGUGGGGAAUAUUGGACAAUGGGCGAAAGCCUGAUCCAGCAAUGCCGCGUGAGUGAUGAAGGCCUUAGGGUUGUAAAGCUCCUUUACCCGGGAUGAUAAUGACAGUACCGGGAGAAUAAGCCCCGGCUAACUCCGUG